CAUGUAUUCCUAUCGAAAUGACCGGAUGUUGCUUGUGAAAGUUUGGUAAAGAACAGUAACGGAAAAUUCACUAAACAGCUGUAAUGGUCGUUUUCAAUUAAUAUUGGGGUUGAGGUGUGGAGGGCGGAGCUGAGCAAACAUUUUUAAUUUAUUACACUGGGAACUGAGCUUCAUGCGUCAUUGGGACUUACAGUGGACCAGAGAAAGCCUCGAGAGAGAGUGUCAAAAAGAUUGAGAAACGUUAGAUGCAGACAUCAAGCAAAAGAAACGUGAGCGGCAGCCAAUUGCUGGGAGGUUCCCGGUCCCUGCAGACCUGCAACUGGACCUCAACAUCUGCACCACACCUCUUCUCUCCUCUCAACCAAUCACUCGAUCACCAGGAGCCAGUGCUCUCAGUAUGGCCAAUAUCCAAACUGCCCAGCUGGGACUGGGA